CACCAUGCAGUGCAGACACAUUGCCAUCCUCAUCCUGGGACUUCUCGCAUCCUGGUUUGAGCCACUGGCUGCCUCUGACAGUAUAUCAGCAACUAUGCCUGAAAAAUGUCAACUCCCUCUGCUUCCAGGACCGUGUAGAGCAAUCCAUCAUCGCUAUUACUAUAACAUAAACACUAUGAGAUGUGAGGACUUUAUAUAUGGUGGCUGUUAUGGCAAUGAUAAUAACUUUGAUGAAAGGAAUGAUUGCGUUCAUGAGUGUGAAAGUUACGCUCCACGUCCAGUCCGAGACCUCUCACUAGACAUCUAAUUAAUCUGCCACUGGGUCCUCCCAUGAAGCAAAGUCACAAUGAGAAAUAAUUCUGACUCUCUUCCAGCUCUACCAGACAUUUCUGGAGGUUUCUUGCCAAUCAACUCAACUGUUCUUCAGCAAAUGGUGGAUUGUGCUUCUUGAGCAUUAUUGGCCUCAAAUCUCUUUUUCUCUCAUGUCCAUGGAACAGAACAAACUGAGCCUUCAUCGUUGGGGCCCUCCAGACUGGAGCUUUAUUUCAGGGGUAUUCUGCAAUGUGUUCUUGACAAAGCAGUAGCACAUUAGAGGUGGAUUUAUCCUGCUUUAGUUUGUUUUGAGAUGCUUCCCCAGCGCUACCACAUUAUUGUUGUC